AUACGUAGGUGGCAAGCGUUGUCCGGAUUUACUGGGCGUAAAGGGUGCGUAGGCGGAUGUUUAAGUGAGAUGUGAAAUACCCGGGCUUAACCUGGGUACUGCAUUUCAAACUGGAUAUCUAGAGUGCAGGAGAGGAGAAUGGAAUUCCUAGUGUAGCGGUGAAAUGCGUAGAGAUUAGGAAGAACACCAGUGGCGAAGGCGAUUCUCUGGACUGUAACUGACGCUGAGGCACGAAAGCGUGGGUAGCAAACAGGAUUAGAUACCCUGGUAGUCCACGCCGUAAACGAUGAGUACUAGGUGUAGGAGGUAUCGACCCCUUCUGUGCCGCAGUAAACACAUUAAGUACUCCGCCUGGGAAGUACGAUCGCAAGAUUAAA
rnacentral:rRNA from 1 species